rnacentral:rRNA from 1 species
AUUGAACGCUGGCGGCAGGCCUAACACAUGCAAGUCGAGCGGAUGAAGAGAGCUUGCUCUCUGAUUCAGCGGCGGACGGGUGAGUAAUGCCUAGGAAUCUGCCUGGUAGUGGGGGACAACGUUUCGAAAGGAACGCUAAUACCGCAUACGUCCUACGGGAGAAAGUGGGGGAUCUUCGGACCUCACGCUAUCAGAUGAGCCUAGGUACGAUUAGCUAGUUGGUGAGGUAAAGGCUCACCAAGGCGACGAUCGUUAACUGGUCUGAGAGGAUGAUCAGUAACACUGGAACUGAGACACGGUCCAGACUCCUACGGGAGGCAUCAGUGGGGAAUAUUGGACAAUGGGCGUAAGCCUGAUCCAGCCAUGCCGCGUGUGUGAAGAAGGUCUUCGGAUUGUAAAGCACUUUAAGUUGGGAGGAAGGGCAGUAAGUUAAUACCUUGCUGUUUUGACGUUACCGACAGAAUAAGCACCGGCUAACUUCGUGCCAGCCGCCGCAGUAAGAC